AAUAGAUACCCUGGUAGUCCACGCCGUAAACGAUGGAUGCUAGCUGUUAUGCGUAUCGACCCGUGUAGUAGCGAAGCUAACGCGUUAAGCAUCCCGCCUGGGGAGUACGAACGCAAGUUUAAAACUCAAAGGAAUUGACGGGGACCCGCACAAGCGGUGGAGCGUGUUCUUUAAUUCGAGGCUAAGCGAAGAACCUUACCAGGGCUUGACAUCCUUGGAAUUUCUCCGAAAGGAGAGAGUACUUUAUUGGACCAAGUGACAGGUGCUGCAUGGCCGUCGUCAGCUCGUGUCGUGAGAUGUUUGGUUAAGUCCAUUAACGAGCGCAACCCUUAUGAAUAGUUGUAUUUUUUCUAUUCAGACUGCCCCGGUAACGGGGAGGAAGGGGGGGAUGAUGUCAGGUCAGUAUUACCCUUACGCCCUGGGCUAGAAACGCGCUACAAUGGCCGGUACAAUGCGCUGCCAACCCGCGAGGGGGAGCAAAUCGCAUCAAAGCCGGUCCCAGUUCGGAUAAGAGGCUGAAACUCGCCUCUUUGAAGCCGGAAUCGCUAGUAAUCGU
rnacentral:rRNA from 1 species